CAUCAGCUUAUUUUCACCUGUAUCUCAUACCACCAUGUGGAUGAAUCUCAAAUACAUCACAAAAUGAAAGAUGUCAGACUCAAAAGGAUACAUACAUAUGUACAUACAGAUACCCAUAUAUUUCUGUAACACCGUGGAAAAGGCAAAACUAUAGAGACCAGUAACAGAUCAAGUUAGUGACUGCAAGAGGCUGGAAGUAGGGAGACUGCCUAAAAUGGGAUAGGAAGGAAUGCUGGGGAGUGAAGGAAAUGUUCUCUGUCUUGACUGUGGUGUUGAUUACAUAAUUGUCAUUUGUCAAAACUCUCAGAAUUCUACACUAAAAAGGGUGAUUAUCCACACCUCAAUAAGUCUGACUUUAAAAAUAUCUCAGUACUAUAAUAUCAUAAUACAUAUAAAAGAGAAAUAAUUGGAAUUGACCAAAAAAAAAUAACAUGUUUCCCUCUGUGAGGUUUGGGCACAGUCAUGCAGAUGUUGGUCAGAUGCUGUGUCCAUUUAUAAAUAGUAAUGAUAUUAACAACAACAGGAUACCCUAAUUGGUAACCACUAGCCCUGCUCCCUUAUUCAGCCCUGAUUAAGUCACUUCAGUCUCAGUAAUUCCAUUUUACAGGUGAGGCAAUUGAGGCUCAGGGGGAAGGUUUGCUGGACUGGCCCAGAAUCCUCAGCAGAUCAGUGUUGGCACCAGGAUUUGAAUCCACAUCCACAGCCUACUCUAUUCUGGUUGCAUCAUGGGAAUCCCAGCUGGUGGUCUCCUGGGCCCCUCAGAUCCUCCCCAGCCCACUCUGGGUCACUAAUUCCCCAGAGGGGCCUAUGAGGCUAGGACCUCAUCCUCAUCCCUUCUCUCUCUUCCAGGUUUCUUGUCCAUGUAAACAGUGGGGAUGUGGAGAAGCGAUGCUGGAGAACUUGGCAGUAGCCACACAGGGGCCUCAUGAAGCAAUAUGGGCAAUGGGGAACCAGCAUUAUGUUAGUGGAGACCAAUGGGGAAAAGCAAACUACCAGUAUUUAAUGGAAGGUUUAAUGGAAGGUUCACAGACACUCUUAAUAGGUGAAAGACUGAAGAGAUGUUUACAAUGAUAGACCAGCUAAUAACAUCUACAUUCAACAAUCAAUUUUAACAUCACAAAAAGAGAGAUAACCAAAUAUGUGCAUCCUGACAUUAUAUAGUAAUUGAUUUCAUUAUACCAUCUAUUAAGUAUUCUUAACAAAGAAAAAGAAAAAUCCAACCUGAAUCUCAUUCAGCCUCUAAAUCUAACAAAUCAUUCACAGGUAAAGUGAAAGUGAGAGAAACAUAUUGAACAAUAUUAAGACUGAAACGUAAGCUAAUCCAGAAGGCAGAAAAUGACCCCUUUCUUCAAAAAAUAAAUUAUAAGGGCACCUGGGUGGCUCAGGCAGUUAAGUGCCCAACUCUUGAUUUUGGCUCAGGUCAUGAUCUUGCAGUUCGUGGGCUUGAACCCUGCAUCAGGCUGUGCGCUGACAGUACAAAGCCUGCUUGGGAUUCUCUAUCUCUCUCU